CUGUUGAUCAAAUCAGGUGUUAACCAGAUGAGUGAGUUAGGAAGGGCGUGAGCCCUGACUUGUCAAGAUAGUGGCUCAGCUACUCCUGUCUCUAGAAGCUCUGAGUAUUACCAAGUGGAGAAACAUCUAAACAGGGCUACAAAGCUUGUGGCAUAUAUUUUCAAUGAAUAAACUAUACAGAAGUCAUGCCUUUAACACAAAAUGUUUUAGACGAGAUAACUGUUGUUCUAAAGAUAUUUAAAUAACAUGUAAACAGUGUUCCUUAAUAGUUUGUUGCAAGCCUUGUGAUCCAGCGCGGGGACCCAAGUUGAAUUUUGUCAGAUGUGUGCUUUCUUUAACUCUGCCAUUGUGUCUUUGUGGGCAGUUACAGGUUAGAAAAGAUGUUCAAAAACUAAAUUGGAGGCUGUUCCUGAAUGCAUAGGCCUGAGCCAAACUGCUCUCCAGGCUUUCUGAGAUAAAGCUUAAAAAAUGGUUCUUUCCUUUUUAAUUUCUUUAAUUUUUCCACAUUCUAAUUUUGCAUGAUGGCAAAGAAAGCAAGACUAAGCAACGUCGCAUGUACUGAAGGUGGUAGCUGAUUAUAAAUAAUGCCAAAUUUCUGUUUGCAUUGAUUCAUUUAGGGCCGUGGGGUCUAUUGAUCUUUCUCCUUCCAUGUGUUUAACACCUGCCUCGUUCUUUGGCAGUCUGCAGGAAGGCAAGUUUGCACUGUCUAAUAAUUACGGCCAGGGCAUUCAGUCAAGUAAGAAUAAUGUAAAAAUCUUCUCUCUCAAAUGGGCAUCCUUAACUUAUGUCUUUUAAAAUACCACAGACUCCAUGACUUAUCUUCAAAAUGAUAAUAAAAACAUCCAUGUGUUGACUUCUUAUCGUGGUGUUUUAUAUAUGCAUGCAUGCGUGCUAAGUCACUUCAGUCAUGUCCAACUCUUUGUGACCCAUGGACUUGUCUCAAUUAAGUCACAAAGUAAUCUCCCAAAGUAGAUUUUACAAUCCCUAACCUGGAAUUUUAAAAGAUCAGUACAAAGUCACGCAGCUGUGUAGGCCUUUCUAAUUUUGCAACUCAAUUUCUUGAUCACUAUAUGGCCUUGGGUCCACUAUUAAUGUGGCUUGGCUUCAUUUACCGCGUAAGUUACAGCAGUGGCAUUUGGUCCUUCUAUCUGACACAGACCGUACAAAUAAUCUUAAAGUCUGAUUCAAUUUCAACCAGUCAUUACAUCACUGUUGUGUACAUUGCUGCAGUUGCUAACUGCUUUCCAUUUCUCCCUGACGUUUCUCUAUUCUAGAUAAAAGUCUGUGGAAGGAAAGAUGGAUCCAGUAAGAAGGUGUAAGCAAGAAUUCAAUACAUGUGUGCUGAACAAAUAAUCCAGGUUUUUCAGUUCUCCAAUCAAAUUCAGCAGAAAGUCAUUGACUACCUGCAGAUUGUAAGGCUUCCCUGGUGGCUCAGAUGAUAAAGAAUCUGCCUGCAAUGCAAGAGACCCAGUCCAGGAAAGAAGACAAGUCGCACCCUCCAGAAGCCUCCAGCCCAGUGAAGAAGGAGGUUAAAGAAGCAAGGCUGUCACCUGGGUGUGGAUGCGCUCUGAGAGGGGAGGCAGAGACAUCCAUCCACCCGGAGGGCUCAGCAAAGGCUUCCCAGAGAUAUCAUCUGAACCCACUCCUGGAGCAUCGGUAGGAAGCAGAUGGCUUUUGGGGUUGUGGAAAAUUCUGCCUCCUCUUUCUGCCAUACUGGAACUGGCAAGAUUUCUCAAAUCAGCAGGCUGCAGCUGGUGCUUAGAGAUCUUAUAAACUUGGACCUCCUUAAAACAAUUAAUUAUUGAUCACAUGAAUUUUAAAUCCAUGAUUUCAAACUGCAAAGCUGCCUCUAGAAUCAUGCUUCCUGACCAGCUUCAUUGAGCAACCUGAGCAUUCUCCAUCUCUUCAGUUUUAAAAAUCCAUGUAAAAAUGAAUAAAACUUGAAAGGGUUUAGACCCUUUCACUUGAGUUUGACAACAUA